CGGACGGGUGAGUAACGCGUGAGCAACCUGCCCUUCGGAGGGGGAUAGUGUCUGGAAACGGACAGUAAUACCGCAUAACGUAUUGAUACCGCAUGAUAUUGAUACCAAAACUGAGGUGCCGAAGGAUGGGCUCGCGUUGGAUUAGAUAGUUGGUGGGGUAACGGCCUACCAAGUCGACGAUCCAUAGCCGGACUGAGAGGUUGAACGGCCACAUUGGGACUGAGACACGGCCCAGACUCCUACGGGAGGCAGCAG
rnacentral:rRNA from 1 species